AACGAACGCUGGCGGCAUGCCUAACACAUGCAAGUCGAACGAGACCUUCGGGUCUAGUGGCGCACGGGUGCGUAACGCGUGGGAACCUGCCUUUAGGUUCGGAAUAACAGUGAGAAAUUACUGCUAAUACCGGAUGAUGUCUUCGGACCAAAGAUUUAUCGCCUUUAGAUGGGCCCGCGUUGGAUUAGCUAGUUGGUGGGGUAAAGGCCUACCAAGGCGACGAUCCAUAGCUGGUCUGAGAGGAUGAUCAGCCACACUGGGACUGAGACACGGCCCAGACUCCUACGGGAGGCAGCAGUGGGGGAAUAUUGGACAAUGGGCGAAAGCCUGAUCCAGCAAUGCCGCGUGAGUGAUGAAGGCCUUAGGGUUGUAAAGCUCUUUUACCCGAGAUGAUAAUGACAGUAUCGGGAGAAUAAGCUCCGGCUAACUCCGUG
rnacentral:rRNA from 1 species